UGCCUUUGUGUUGCCCAUUUGCUAUACAAAUGGUGAAUGUGGUGUCAGAAAAGGCAGAAAUAAAACCCCAGCAUAGCCUGCCGCACUUUUGGGGUGUUCUCCUCCUCAGGUGCAUGGCUGUGCUGGAAUAAGU